UCCCACGUCGUCUACCGGUUAGGAUCGCUGGCUGUCACCCAGGCGGCCCGGGUUCGACACCCGGCGCGGGAG
rnacentral:tRNA from 1 species